CCCCUCUCAUGGUCGCACCUGAAGAGUUUCCAGCACUCCACCACUCUUGACUACAGGAGGGAGAGUGAGGCAGAGGCAUACCCAUUCCAUUCCUAGCUUGGGCAGUGGCUAGCGAGUGGAAGGCAAUCUGCCACAGAU
rnacentral:snoRNA from 1 species